UGUUCUAUCUCACAAACACAAAAACCAAUACACCAAACCAGACGCACGCUCACUGACGGUCACCACCUCACCGUCACUGGCCACCGUUGCACGUCGCUGGCCACCGCCACACGUCGACACUGCUGCAAAUCACAGGUUGGAGGAGAUAGUGUCUGAAUUCCAUUAUCAAGUUCUUAGGAUUAUCGCUUAUAGUGUUAGAAAUGGGAAAGCACUUAUGGAGUGAAUCCGAAGACGAGCUAGUUGAGGUUAAUUGUCCAAGCUGCAUGAGGGGAAUAAUUCAUGCUCUUGAUUGGCAUAACAGCGUUAAGAACAUGCUGCCCCACAAAAAGCAUAAUGGACCAAAACAUACAAAAGGAACCAUAAAUUUGGAGUCCUUGAUGAGUGCAUCCAAGUAUGCAACUAAAUCUCUCAUUAUUUUGUUCUUAGAAAAAAAAGGCUUACCCAUAAUUUCAGCAUAUCAUACUAAUUUUGAAAUAGGUUUUUUUUUUUUUUUUUUUUUUUUUA